rnacentral:rRNA from 1 species
AGAGUUUGAUCCUGGCUCAGGAUGAACGCUGGCGGCGUGCCUAAUACAUGCAAGUCGAGCGAACAGACGAGGAGCUUGCUCCUCUGACGUUAGCGGCGGACGGGUGAGUAACACGUGGAUAACCUACCUAUAAGACUGGGAUAACUUCGGGAAACCGGAGCUAAUACCGGAUAAUAUAUUGAACCGCAUGGUUCAAUAGUGAAAGACGGUUUUGCUGUCACUUAUAGAUGGAUCCGCGCCGCAUUAGCUAGUUGGUAAGGUAACGGCUUACCAAGGCAACGAUGCGUAGCCGACCUGAGAGGGUGAUCGGCCACACUGGAACUGAGACACGGUCCAGACUCCUACGGGAGGCAGCAGUAGGGAAUCUUCCGCAAUGGGCGAAAGCCUGACGGAGCAACGCCGCGUGAGUGAUGAAGGUCUUCGGAUCGUAAAACUCUGUUAUUAGGGAAGAACAAAUGUGUAAGUAACUAUGCACGUCUUAACGGUACCUAAUCAGAAAGCCACGGCUAACUACGUGCCAGCAGCCGCGGUAAUACGUAGGUGGCAAGCGUUAUCCGGAAUUAUUGGGCGUAAAGCGCGCGUAGGUGGUUUUUUAAGUCUGAUGUGAAAGCCCACGGCUCAACCGUGGAGGGUCAUUGGAAACUGGAAAACUUGAGUGCAGAAGAGGAAAGUGGAAUUCCAUGUGUAGCGGUGAAAUGCGCAGAGAUAUGGAGGAACACCAGUGGCGAAGGCGACUUUCUGGUCUGUAACUGACGCUGAUGUGCGAAAGCGUGGGGAUCAAACAGGAUUAGAUACCCUGGUAGUCC